GGUGUUGUGCCGGAGUAAACGGGUUGCGUUGAUGAUGCAAAAUAUAAGAGUAUUUUCUUCUUCACUU
rnacentral:tRNA from 1 species